rnacentral:rRNA from 1 species
UACGAAGGGUGCAAGCGUUACUCGGAAUUACUGGGCGUAAAGCGUGAGUAGGUGGUUUCUUAAGUCUGCUGUGAAAGCCCCGGGCUCAACCUGGGAAUUGCAGUGGAUACUGGGAAGCUAGAGUUCGGUAGAGGGUAGUGGAAUUCCCGGUGUAGCGGUGAAAUGCGUAGAGAUCGGGAGGAACACCAGUGGCGAAGGCGGCCUCCUGGACCAGCACUGACGCUGAGGCACGAAAGCGUGGGGAGCAAACAGG